rnacentral:rRNA from 1 species
GUGGGGAAUAUUGGGCAAUGGAGGCAACUCUGACCCAGCCAUGCCGCGUGGGUGACGAAGGUCUUCGGAUUGUAAAGCCCUUUCGGCGGGGACGAUGAUGACGGUACCCGCAGAAGAAGCCCCGGCUAACUUCGUGCCAGCAGCCGCGGUAAUACGAAGGGGGCUAGCGUUGUUCGGAAUUACUGGGCGUAAAGGGCGUGUAGGCGGCCCGUUAAGACAGGUGUGAAAUUCCUGGGCUCAACCCAGGACGUGCGCCUGUGACUGGCGGGCUUGAGUCCGGGAGAGGAUGGUGGAACUCCCAGUGUAGAGGUGAAAUUCGUAGAUAUUGGGAAGAACACCCGUGGCGAAGGCGGCCAUCUGGACCGGUACUGACGCUAAGGCGCGACAGCGUGGGGAGCAAACAGGAUUAGAAACCCGAGUAGUCC